UACGGGGGGAGCAAACGUUGUUCGGAAUCACUGGGCGUAAAGCGCGUGUAGGCGGUUCGGUAAGUCCGCUGUGAAAGUCGGGGGCUCAACCCUCGGAUGCCGGUGGAUACUGUCGGACUAGAGUACGGAAGAGGCGAGUGGAAUUCCUGGUGUAGCGGUGAAAUGCGCAGAUAUCAGGAGGAACACCGAUUGCGAAGGCAGCUCGCUGGGACGUUACUGACGCUGAGACGCGAAAGCGUGGGGAGCAAACAGG
rnacentral:rRNA from 1 species